CUCGGCUCGGCGGCGGCAAGCGCUGGGUGCCGGGAGCCGGGAGCGCAGCUUUAUAGCGCGCUGAUAGACGGGGUCAGUUGGAGCGGCCGGGGCCAGCGGUGGGGGGCCCGGCCUGCCACCUUGCCUUAUUUGGUCGCUUUAGCACCAUCUAGGCCUGCCAAGGCCAUUCAUGGAGCCAAGGGCAAGAGAGAGGAUCAGCUGGGGGGCUCCCGGACCAUGUAAGGAAGAGGAGGGGGCAGCCAGAGGAAUGGCCAAAUAGGGAGCUAGGGAGGGGCAAGCAGCGAAGGGUAGGGGUCAGGGAAAGACUAGGCGACGCCAACCAACCCCCACCCCUUCCUGGGGUAGGGGAGCUCCCUGGGUGUGCUGUGGGUUUGUUCCUCCGGAGCCCUCCAGCCUGAGGGGCCGGUAACCCGGGGAAGGCUUGGCGCCCUGCCCAAGGCUAAGGGGUCCUGACAGCUGGGCUACAGUAGCAGCCUCUCGUCUUCCAGGCCUCGGAGUGGAGGAGCAGGUCGCUUGGCAGUCUUCUUGGGCCUCAGAGGGCGCCACAGCAGCACACUGGAGUGGCUGCCCAAGGGCCACCUGGGACAGGGCACCCUUCUUGUCCAGAACCCACCCGCCUGAGCUGGGCUGUGUGCAUCCAGGUGGGAAAGCUGAGGUGAACCAACUUUGGUCCUAGCACGUGUGUGGCAGGGAGAGGCUGCCAAUGCUUGCUGGAGAAGGGACCAGCACGGAUGCCAGACGGCCCUCAACCAUGCCGGGACCCAAGACUCCAUCUGCAGGCAGGAAGUGAAAGCACAGAUGCCAAAAGCAGUUGCCCCCUUGCUGGUGGAAUAUGACCAUCUUUAAACUGGGAACAAAGAUUGUCAAGGUCGUGACUCCCCUGAGAAAGCAAAUACUUUUGCUGAAAAGAUAACAGCAAGUUAAACCAGAAGAACAGAUCAACCUGCCUUACUCAAAACAAUCUGUGCACAAGCAGUGUCCUCAUCUCAAGAAUGAGUUAGAAAUGCAGAGUCCCAGGCCCCGCCCUAGUCUCCUGAAUCAAAUCUGCUUUUCAGCAAGCUCCCCAUUUGAUUGGCACGUAUGUUGAAGUGUGACACACUGGUAGAAAUGACUGAUACCAUCUCAUUGGUGGAAAACAGGUUUCGAAGAAUCGAGACAUGUGAGAAGGAAAAAGAAAGAUGGCAUGAGGAGGCAAAGCUAGAUCUCUCGUGACUCAGGCAGAUGGAGAAGAAGCAAAGAAAAGGAGAAACAGGGAUGGCCUUAGAGCCAGACAGGCCAAACUUCAAAUCCUGCCUCUGUCACUUGGCACUCACUCUGUAUGCAUUUCAUCAUAGGAAACUCCCUUGCAGUUUGAGUGAGCCUGCUUCAUAUAUCCUAGGAGGCAGGGAACCUCAGAACCGCAUCUGCCUGCAGCCACACAGUUGAGCAAAUGGAAGAGAGAGACUUCAAACCCAGGCACUUGGGUGAAGCCCUGUUGGUAAUCAGCACCAAAAAUGCCCUUCUGUCUACUGAGACUGCUGUUUCUCAGAUGAGGAGGCUAGAAUCACCUGCACCCUGGCUGCCUAAUAGAAAUUCAAAUUCCUAUGUUCUACCCUAGAAAUCUGAAUCCGCAUUUUAAAUGAGCCUUCAGCCCCCUUCCCCAGAGACAGUCCAGUCCGGAGCCAUGCUCCUAGAGUGCAGAGCGAGUGCCCGUUAACAUCGAUGUCCUUCCUGGUGUCUACCUAAUGAUCUGAGGACUAAGCUGCAG